AUUAAAGUUGCCGAACCUCCGAACUGAAUAUCCCCAUUGCAGGAAGUGAUGAAUGUUACACAAAGUUGCUGCAUCAGCUAGUUUGAAUUUAGCAUACUGCAUUGGGUAUUGAAGAUCAGAGUUUUCAGCCACUUAUUGAAAAGAAAUACUGCAUAGAGAACAGACUCUUAAAGAGCAUUUGCUUCUAGAAAAAUUCAUUUUAAACAAAUCAGAGAUUUGAAGAAAAAUAAAGGAAGGGCCGUUGUACUUGAACUGGAUUCCUACAAUUAUAUUGCAAGGAAUUUGAGUCUAUUUGCUCAGAGGGAUAACAGCAGCCUGUUACCUUGAAUUUUAGACAAGGGUCUUACAGUUGCCAGAGGAGGUAGAUCGAGUGAGAGCGAACGGAGACUUUGGAGGUGUGGAUAAAUAAUAAGUAAGCUGUAUUCACGCCAGAGCACAGAAAGAUCAAGGAGGAUAACAACACCAAAUUGGAUUUAACCCU